GAUGAACGCUGGCGGCGUGCUUAACACAUGCAAGUCGAACGGAAAGGCCCAAGCUUGCUUGGGUACUCGAGUGGCGAACGGGUGAGUAACACGUGGGUGAUCUGCCCUGCACUUCGGGAUAAGCCUGGGAAACUGGGUCUAAUACCGGAUAGGACCACUUCUUGGAUGUUGUGGUGGAAAGUUUUUUCGGUGUGGGAUGAGCUCGCGGCCUAUCAGCUUGUUGGUGGGGUAAUGGCCUACCAAGGCGUCGACGGGUAGCCGGCCUGAGAGGGUGUACGGCCACAUUGGGACUGAGAUACGGCCCAGACUCCUACGGGAGGCAGCAGUGGGGAAUAUUGCACAGUGGGCGCAAGCCUGAUGCAGCGACGCCGCGUGGGGGAGGACGGCCUUCGGGUUGUAAACUCCUUUCGCUAGGGACGAAGCGUUUUGUGACGGUACCUGGAGAAGAAGCACCGGCUAACUACGUG
rnacentral:rRNA from 1 species